UACGAAGGGGGCUAGCGUUGCUCGGAAUCACUGGGCGUAAAGGGUGCGUAGGCGGGUCUUUAAGUCAGGGGUGAAAUCCUGGAGCUCAACUCCAGAACUGCCUUUGAUACUGAGGAUCUUGAGUUCGGGAGAGGUGAGUGGAACUGCGAGUGUAGAGGUGAAAUUCGUAGAUAUUCGCAAGAACACCAGUGGCGAAGGCGGCUCACUGGCCCGAUACUGACGCUGAGGCGCGAAAGCGUGGGGAGCAAACAGG
rnacentral:rRNA from 1 species